UUUCCGUAGGUGAACCUGCGGAAGGAUCAUUAUUGAAAUAAAAAACUCAGGCAGGGGGGAGUGUGGUUGUAGCUGUCCCCUAAUAAGGGCAUGUGCACACUGUCUCUUUCUCUUGUUUGUUUUUUUCAUUCUUUCCACUUGUGCACUGCUUGUAGGCAGCCUGGCAUUGUUCGGGUUGUCUAUGAUUUUCUUUUACAUACAUGAAUCAUUGUUGAACAGAAUGUGAUAAAAAAUAAUAAUACAACUUUCAACAACGGAUCUCUUGGCUCUC
rnacentral:misc_RNA from 1 species